CUUUGAUACUUUGAAUUCGAGGAUACCGAUGUGAUACCUUUAGUCCCAGCUACUCAGGCUACUCAAGAGGCUGAGGCAGGAGAUUUGCUUGAACCCAGGAGACAGAGGUUGCAUUGAGCUGAGAUCGUGCCACUGCACUCCAGCCUGGGUGACACAGUGAAACUCCAUCUGAAAAAAAAAAGAAAAAAGAAAAAAAUGUUAAGGACAGCCAGAAAGAAAGACCAGGUCACCUACAAAGGGAAGGCCAUCGGACAAGCAUUGGGCCUCUGAGUGGAAACCCUACAAGCCAGAAAAGAUUGGGGGCCAGUAUUCAAUAUUCCUAAAGAAAAGAAUUUCCAACCCAGAAUUUCAUAUGCAAACUAAGUUUCAUAAGCAAAGGAGAAAUAAGAUCCUUUUCAGACAAACAAAUGCUGAGGAAAUUCAUCACUACCAGACCUGCCUUACAAGAGCUCCUGAAGGAAGCACUAAAUAUAGAAAGGAAAAACCAUUACCACUACAAAAAC
rnacentral:lncRNA from 10 species